CUGGUACAAUGCGAAGCGAAGCAGUGAUGUGAAGCAAAUCGCACCAAAGCCAGUCCCAGUUCGGAUAAGAGGCUGAAACUCGCCUCUUUGAAGUCGGAAUCGCUAGUAAUCGCAGAUCAGCAUGUUGCGGUGAAUACGUUCCCGGGUCUUGUACACACCGCCCGUCAAACCAUGAGAGUCACCAACACCCGAAGUCCGCCUUGGCGGCCUAAGGUGGGGAGAUGAUUGGGGUUAAGUCGUAACAAGGUACC
rnacentral:rRNA from 1 species